UGAGGAAUAUUGGGCAAUGCCCGCAAGGGUGACCCAGCAACGCCGCGUGGAGGAUGAAUGUCGUAAGAUUGUAAACUCCUGUUAGAGGGGAAGAAUAGUAUCGGUUGGACCGGUAUAUGACUGUACCCUCAGAGAAAGCCCCGGCUAACUACGUGCCAGCAGCCGCGGUAAUACGUAGGGGGCAAGCGUUGUCCGGAUUUACUGGGUGUAAAGGGCGCGCAGGCGGGAUAAAAAGUCAGUGGUGAAAUCCUACAGCUUAACUGUAGAACUGCCUUUGAUACUGUUAUUCUUGAGUUCGGGAGAGAGAGACGGAAUUCCAGGUGUGGUGGUGCAAUACGUAGAUAUCUGGAAGAACACCAGUUGCGAAGGCGGUCUCUUGGUCCGACACUGACGCUGAGGCGCGAAAGCGUGGGGAGCAAACA
rnacentral:rRNA from 1 species